rnacentral:pre_miRNA from 1 species
UUAACUCAUAUUUGUAUGGAAUGGGAUCGUUUGCGUACGUUUGCCGCUAGGGGCGCUGUUCCAACUGCAUACAAAAUUCGGCUA